GGAUGAAGCGGUAAAUAUACAUUGAUGGCCUCUCACGCCAGUAACAGGGGUUCGAAUCCCCUUGGGAUCACCA
rnacentral:tRNA from 1 species